rnacentral:tRNA from 1 species
GCCCACUUAGCUUAAAGGGUAGAGCAUCGCAUUUGUAAUGCGACGGUCGUCGGUUCAAAGCUCAUAGUCAGCC